GGCAAUUUAGUGGUCAGAAAACAAUUAAAAAGCAACAGUCUUAAUUAGUUGAAGAAAGCAAAGAAACAUAGUCGAGGGGAAUCAUGUUUGACCAACCUGGUCUGACCGAGGAAGCAGUGAGAGAAUUCCAUAGAAUGCAUUUCUUCAACUUUGGUGAUCCAAUGCUGGAUGGUGGGAACAACAGAUGUCUUUUGCAAUUGAAAUAGGAGAGAGGUAAAAAAAAA